AUUCUGAGUGCCUCCAUGUCUCUGUGAUGGAUCAGAAGCAUUCAGAUUUCUGCAAGGAUGGCGUAGGAGUAAAGAAAAAGUUCCAUAUGGGUGCGCACAGGCUGAUGCUCUGCUGACACGUGUCACGUGAACACAGCCAGCGUCGUGUGUGGUUCCCGGAGCCCUGGCUGUUCCUGCACAUCUUUAUUCCCCACUUGAGAAACCACAUUGAGAUGCAAGCUGAUCACAAGGAAGAACACAUAAUCUGAAGAUCUAUGGAUUUCCCCUUUUAUUAUAUUUUUAAAUUCAAGAGGAAUACAUUUAAACUACACUGAAAUCUCUAAGAUUGAAAAUGAAAGGCUCCCCCUGCUCUGGUACACUCACUUCCCUGAGGAAAAGAAAAGUAUUGCGAGGUCUCUGGCUUUACCCUGAGCCUGUGCUGGGGGUGUUUCCAGCAACUGUGUACAAAGGCAGCUUCAACCCUGAGCUUCUCAUAAGUGUUCAAAGUUCUGGUGAGUUCUCAGAAAGAAUAUUCCAGCCACAUUAUCUUUUGAUCUGUGGCCAAGGGUGG
rnacentral:lncRNA from 1 species